GGAUGUGAUGGGGAGCGAAAUUUAGUAGCGAAGUAGCUGAUUUCACACUGUCAAGAAAAGUCUCUAUCGAGGUUAAAGGUACCCGUACCGCAAACCGACACAGGUGGGUGAGGAGAGUAUCCUAAGGCCAGCGAGAGAACUGUUGUUAAGGAACUCGGCAAAAUGACCCCGUAACUUAGGGAUAAGGGGUGCCACCAUCAGGUGGCCGCAGAGAAUAGGCCCAAGCGACUGUUUACCAAAAACAUAGGUUUCUGCUAAGUCGCAAGACGAUGUAUAGGAGCUGACGCCUGCCCGGUGCUGGAAGGUUAAGGGGAUCUGUUAGAGCAAUCGAAGCAGUGAACUUAAGCCCCAGUAAACGGCGGCCGUAACUAUAACGGUCCUAAGGUAGCGAAAUUCCUUGUCGGGUAAGUUCCGACCCGCACGAAAGGCGUAACGAUUUGGGCACUGUCUCAACAACAGACUCGGUGAAAUUGUAAUUCCGGUGAAGAUGCCGGAUACCUGCGACAGGACGGAAAGACCCCAUGGAGCUUUACUGUAGCUUGACAUUGGGUCUUGGUACUACAUGUACAGGAUAGGUGGGAGGCUUUGAAACCAGGACGCCAGUUUUGGCGGAGCCAUCCUUGGGAUACCACCCUUGUAGUACUGGGACUCUAACCAUAGGCCAUGAAUCUGGUCUUGGGACACUGUCAGGUGGGCAGUUUGACUGGGGCGGUCGCCUCCCAAAAGGUAACGGAGGCGCUCAAAGGUUCUCUCAGUACGGUCGGAAAUCGUACGUAGAGUGUAAAGGCAAAAGAGAGCUUGAUUGCAAGACAUACAGGUCGAGCAAGGAUGAAAAUCGGACUUAGUGAUCCGGUGGUUCUGCGUGGAAGGGCCAUCGCUCAACGGAUAAAAGCUACCCUGGGGAUAACAGGCUUAUCUCCCCCAAGAGUCCACAUCGACGGGGAGGUUUGGCACCUCGAUGUCGGCUCAUCACAUCCUGGGGCUGUAGUAGGUCCCAAGGGUUGGGCUGUUCGCCCAUUAAAGUGGUACGCGAGCUGGGUUCAGAACGUCGUGAGACAGUUCGGUCCCUAUCCGUCGCAGGCGU
rnacentral:rRNA from 1 species